CAAUCACCAAAUGACACGGAUUUUGGAAUAAAAAGCAGCAAUGUGACCAUUCUCCAUAAAAUAAAGUGUUAAAAGGAAAUCCUUCAGACUGAGGAGAGAAUACCAGAGGAAACUUAUAACUUCAAGAAUGAGGGUGGAGCGCCAGAAAUGGGCCUCAGCUUGUGUCUGUGUGUAAGUCCUGGGGUCUUGGGUGUCAAAUGUCAGGCCUUGUACCGAGCUGUCAAAGAGAAGAAUGGGCUGAGAUGAUUGAUGACUGGGAGGCCUGAAACCCAAACCUCCACUGCAAAUGCUUCUUUUACAAAAAAGCUGGAGCUACCCACAGUGCCUAUAUUCAAGGUCACUUCGCAUGCCAUUACACCCACCGCGUUCGACUCCCAACAAGCCACGCCAUUCACACAGGGGCCGACUUCUCCUCUGAGCCCUCUCCUUCUCUCCCUUCCUGCCUCCUCUGUUCCUCUC